UGGGGAAUAUUGGGCAAUGGGCGCAAGCCUGACCCAGCAACGCCGCGUGAAGGAAGAAGGCUUUCGGGUUGUAAACUUCUUUUGUCAGGGACGAAGCAAGUGACGGUACCUGACGAAUAAGACACGGCUAACUACGUGCC
rnacentral:rRNA from 1 species